rnacentral:rRNA from 1 species
GACGAACGCUGGCGGCGUGCCUAAUACAUGCAAGUAGAACGCUGAAGAGAGGAGCUUGCUCUUCUUGGAUGAGUUGCGAACGGGUGAGUAACGCGUAGGUAACCUGCCUUGUAGCGGGGGAUAACUAUUGGAAACGAUAGCUAAUACCGCAUAACAAUGGAUGACACAUGUCAUUUAUUUGAAAGGGGCAAUUGCUCCACUACAAGAUGGACCUGCGUUGUAUUAGCUAGUAGGUGAGGUAAUGGCUCACCCAGGCGACGAUACAUAGCCGACCUGAGAGGGUGAUCGGCCACACUGGGACUGAGACACGGCCCAGACUCCUACGGGAGGCAGCAGUAGGGAAUCUUCGGCAAUGGGGGCAACCCUGACCGAGCAACGCCGCGUGAGUGAAGAAGGUUUUCGGAUCGUAAAGCUCUGUUGUAAGUCAAGAACGGGUGUGAGAGUGGAAAGUUCACACUGUGACGGUAGCUUACCAGAAAGGGACGGCUAACUACGUG